rnacentral:tRNA from 1 species
GGGGAUACGCAAAUGGUAAAGCGGCAGUCAUUAGGGACUGUGGUAUAAUAUUCUAGGUGUAUACAUUGAGGGUUCGAAUCCCUCUCUCCUU